CUGCGUAUCGAUUGUAGUAUAGUAUUUGUGUUUUGUUUAUCGUGUGGUGGUUGUGGUGCGUGAAUAGUGUCAGUGCUUUCGGUUUAUUUUUUGAAAAUAAAAACAACAUGGGAAACAUCCACACUGUCGGCCCGAAUGAGGCGCUUAUAGUUUCAGGUGGAUGUUUCGGUUCCACGACGAAGAAGACCAUCGUCGGCGGAUGGGGCUGGGCCUGGUGGCUGGUCACGGAUGUCCAGCGCAUUUCGCUUGAGGUUAUGACCCUCAACCCGAUGUGCGAGUACGUGGAGACCGCCCAAGGCGUCCCGCUCACUGUCACGGGCGUCGCCCAAUGCAAGAUUAUGAAUGAAGAUGAGCUCCUCACAACUGCCUGCGAGCAGUUCCUGGGGAAGUCCGUCAAGGAGAUCAAGAUGACCAUUCUGCAGACGCUGGAGGGCCACUUGAGAGCUAUUCUCGGAACGCUUACAGUAGAAGAGGUGUACAAGGACAGAGACCAGUUCGCGGGGCUGGUGCGCGAGGUGGCGGCGCCCGACGUCGGCCGGAUGGGCAUCGAGAUCCUGUCGUUCACGAUCAAGGACGUGUACGAUGACGUCCAGUACUUGCAGAGCUUGGGCAAGGCGCAGACGGCGGCGGUGAAGCGCGAUGCGGACGUUGGCGUUGCGCAGGCCAAUAGGGACGCUGGAAUCAGGGAAGCUGAGUGCGAGAAGAGUGCCAUGGACGUGAAAUACUCGAUGGACACCAGGAUAGAGGACAACACCAGGAUGUUCAAGCUACAGAAGGCGCAGUUCGACCAGGAAGUCAACACAGCUAAAGCCGAAGCAGCUUUAGCGUACGAGUUGCAAGCCGCGAAGAUUAAACAGAAAAUUCGUAACGAAGAAAUUCAGAUCGAAAUUGUGGAGCGCCGUAAACAAAUCGAGGUGGAGCAGAUGGAGAUCCUCCGUCGCGAGGAGGAGCUGGCAUCUACGGUGCGUCUGCCCGCUGAGGCCGAGGCCUACCGCCUACAGGCCAUCGCCGAGGGCAAGCGAACCCAAACGGUGGAAGGCGCAAAAGCCGACGCCGAGCGUAUUAAGGUUCUCGGUCUGGCCGAGGCUCUGGCCAUCGGAGACGUCGGCAAGGCCGACGCCGAGCGCAUGCUGGCCAAGGCCAAGGUGUACAAACAGUACGGAGACGCCGCGCUCAUGGCACUGGUCCUCGAGGCCCUGCCUAAGAUCGCAGCGGAGGUGUCUGCGCCGCUGGCCAAGACGGACGAGAUCGUGCUGGUCGGCGACGGCGGCGCCACGGGCGAGCUGGCGCGCCUCGCCGGCGCCGUGCCGCCCGCGCUGCGCACGCUCACCGGCCUCGACCUCACCGCGGUGCUGAAACGUCUGCACCCGGCCACCGGUGGCAGCGCUCCAGAAGAACCCCCUGUGGUUGCCAACUCGACCAAGAAGGUAGCAGCUUGCUAAGCGCUCAGAGCCCCGACACGAACGCAGUUACCCUCAACAUGUGGCUGUAUAUAGCUCUUUGCGAGUUCGUUUUUAAUAUAUUGACGUGAAAUAUUUUUCGAAAAUAGAAUUAUGUAUGUGUACCUUUGUAAACAGUGUAGUCUCCGAGCAAUUGUGUGUAGAUUUUAGUAUUGUGAUUUGUGAUAUUUACAUCGUACAAUUUCUAGCCUAGCUCGUUGCGGAGACUAUAUCGAGGAUAGUGCUUUUGUUCAUAGUUUCAAGCAAUAUUAAUACGUGUAUGGUAGGUAAUUUUUAUCUUUAAUGAAAAUGUACCCCACCAUAUGUCAGUAAUUAUAUUCUACUGAUAUUAUCAUAAGAAGACUAUAAUCCUAAAUGCAUAUUAUGAUUACAGCAACUAGCCCUAAAAUACCUUUAGAUUUUGUACUGUGUAGAAUAUUUGUAGUUUAACAAUUUUAAGACUGGUUUAUACUGGUAUAAAUACUUAUAAAAGCUGUGAUAUACUCAACCCUACAUAUCAUCAAAGAGUUAUUGAUAGAGGUAAAAUCUAAGAAAAAAAACGUACUGACAGCCUUUCAUAUACGAAGCCGAUAGUGCUGCACUGCGCUAUAUAUUUUUCACCUCAGCAGCUCGAACAAGCCUACUUUCGUCACUCCCUGGAGUGAGGAAAGUGAGACUUUCCUCACUCCAGGGAGUGAAACAAUGUAGCUUUUUAAUUUAGUGAAGGCCAUGAACUUCAUACUUUUAUUACUUUUUUUUAUGAUACGGUACGGUACGGUCCGGUCCGGUCUCGUAUCGUAUCUUAUCGUAUCGUACAUAUUAUAAUACUUUUUUUUUCUGUUUAUUCUGCGUAAUUCGAAAUACAUUUUAACCUUUAAUAUGUUCUCACUACUAAGGUGAAAAAUUAUGUGUGCAACACGAGAGCAAAGUUAUUUUACAUCUCGUGUUUUUGAGUCCCUCGCUACGCUCAAGAUUCUACCUUAGAAUCACUCGCUUCGCUCGUGAUUCAAUUAUAGAAUCUUUCGCUUUCUCAGGACUCAAAAUAAACACUCGCAAGAAAAACCAACCUUCCUCUCUUGUUGCACAAAUAACUAUUUUGUCACUGGUCACUGAAUUGUCACACGUCACCGUCAACUUAUGACAGUCAAAGUUACCGCAUAAUUUACGGAGCCGUGCAGCGCCAUCUCGUAUACCUAUCAAAUCCGAAGCACGAAAUUGUCUGAUCUGUCUCACACAAUCAAUAAAUCUUUGGUAUCAUAAUUCACACUGUUAAUAAACCAGCGGCGGCAGCAUGGUUGUAUUUUUAUCGCCGGUCACUAUGCCUGUCACUUUCUCACUUACAUACUUGUUAGAACGGCAGGCAUGGGGUGACAGGCGAUAAAAAUGCGACCGUGCUUAGCCUGCAGUAGUAAACCUUAUUGUAAAGAAAUACCCCCUUAUUCAUAAAACUUUACGGGCCUGGUUAUUACUUGGUUUACUGGUGGUAAAUUAUGUUUUAUCCCUUUCUAACAAAUACAUAAGUCAUAAUGACAGAUAAAGACAAACAAUUCAUAUAGCUAAUCCACUUAAUCCAGACCAGUAUCGCGUUAAUGAAUAACGCCAAUAAGGUCUACCGCAGGUCACGCUGUUCCAACGUUUUGGUUGGUCCUGCAGUAAGAGUGGGAUUAAUGUGUGCUCAAAAACCUUCGGCGUAUAUCGUCUGUAACCAGUCUUAAAAUUUGUGUCAAGCACUGCCCAGUGUGUGCGAAUAGUUGUGUGUGUUUUAUUAGGAAUGUUUAUUAUUAGCGUUGAUUGUGUAUGUGGCGACAGUCAAUAGACAUGGUCGUUUCUGAACAGAAUAGGCGGUGGCUUGACUUAGCGAACAACCUUAGUAACAACAAAAUGUUUAUGACGUACUGUUUAUUUACAUCUAUCCAAUAGCCACAAACUACAGACAUGUGAAAUAAAUCGAUAGAUUUAUUGAUCUUAUUUAAUCCCAAAUGCAUUUGCAUGCAAGCAUUAUGCACAAAGGCCUCCCACACGCUCGGAGAAUUCCUUGUUGUCAACCCUUAUAUCAAUUUAUAGUAAAAAACAAAAUUUGGGAUUAGAAUAGAAUGCAUUAAAAAAAAUCAAAGCCAAAUUGAGUAACGUUCGAUGGUGUUUUGCAGGAGUUUCGAAAAACAGCAAUACCUGCUGAAAAUUUUGGUAUUUUUGAAAAAUGUGUAUUUGUCGAAAUUGGUGAUCUAAAUUGAAUGGUUAUUGUACCAAAGAAAUGUGUGUUUGAAUUACAAUAAUUUAACUAAGUGUAUUGUGGUGUCUGACAUUUUGAAUGUGUUUUGUGUAGAAGUAAUGGAUAUAGCGCAAACGUAAUAUAUUAAGUACCUACUACCAAAGAGAAUUAAGUAGACAUAGUGCUCACUCCAUACAUCAGUUUUGUUACCAAAGACUAUUAUUUUCGUAGUCGACAUCUAGCGUCAAGUAGCGGAAUUAUCAGUACUGCUACUCGACAAUAGAUAUGUCGCGGCAAACAAAAAGUCUAAUGCUCAACGAUUUUCAGCUAAUAUUAUAACCAGAGUAACCGGAACUCUAUUAUCACCUCCUGCUUUUAAUAUUAGUUGUAAAUUGUUGAGCAGUUUUCGUCAGUCGCGACACAUUCGACAUCUAGUGUCUAGUAGCAGUACUGAGAGUUUCGCUAUUUGAAGCUAGGUGUCGACUACGAAGUAAAGCGCGUUUUGGUAAGAAAACUGAUGUAUGCAGUUAGUUCUUUCUUUACUUAUAUUUCUCUAUAGAUAUACGGAGUGAAGUUUUGUAAAUUUUAAAAAUGUUAAGUGGUAAACUGCACUGAAUUAGCAGUUAUAGAUUAUGUAAUGAAACGGAGUCAGUAGUAGUAAAGGCUACAUAAAUAACAGUUCAGCCUGUAAAUUAUUCACACUCAUAGGUGUACUGUAUCUUAUAAGCCGCGGCCGGUGCUGGUAGCGUUGUGUUUGUUCAUACAUCUUUAAACUUAUGUCGAUACAAAAUAUGACAGCUAAGCUAACGAACAUGCCACUUGGAAGUAUAUUGUGCUUAAGUUUAAAAUUAAAAUAUAUAGGCUGUGGGUGUGAUAUAUAUGUCUUCAGUUUAUUUUUACAUUCACAGCGCUACCAAAAAAUCAGUUUGCCGAUAUAAUUUUGUGUAUAAUUUAAAUUGUCUAAGAUGAACUUCUGUGCAUAAUCCGUUUAAUUAUCGACCUAAAUACCUACAAGCAAGAAAAAAUUCGUAGGUGUUGGUAAGAUCAUCUCUCAUGAUUUCAACUAAAAGUGGCGCAAACGCAAGGAAAUCUUUGUUUUUUUUUUAUAAAUCCAGUAACUGACUGGGAAUAUGCGGCUGUUUAGUUUCUCAAUAUGUGAGAAUCCAGAUAUUUAUUUGUAUGAUUGCGUGUAGCUGCGGUGAGGAUGAAUAAAUUGAUUACAUAUUUUGUUU